rnacentral:rRNA from 1 species
AUACGUAGGGGGCGAGCGUUGUCCGGAAUGAUUGGGCGUAAAGGGCGCGUAGGCAGCCCGGUAAGUCUGGAGUGAAAGUCCUGUUUUUAAGAUGGGAAUUGCUUUGGAUACUGUCGGGCUUGAGUGCAGGAGAGGUAAGUGGAAUUCCCAGUGUAGCGGUGAAAUGCGUAGAGAUUGGGAGGAACACCAGUGGCGAAGGCGACUUACUGGACUGUAACUGACGCUGAGGCGCGAAAGUGUGGGGAGCAAACAGGAUUAGAUACCCUGGUAGUCCACACUGUAAACGAUGAAUGCUAGGUGUAGGGGGUAUCGACCCCUUCUGUGCCGCAGUCAACACAAUAAGCAUUCCGCCUGGGGAGUACGGCCGCAAGGUUGAAACUCAAAGGAAUUGACGGGG